rnacentral:rRNA from 1 species
ACAAGCGGUGGAUGAUGUGGAUUAAUCGAUGCAACGCGAAAACCUUACCUACCCUUGACAUGUCCGGAAUCCCGAAGAGAUUUGGGAGUGCUCGCAAGAGAACCGGAACACAGGUGCUGCAUGGCUGUCGUCAGCUCGUGUCGUGAGAUGUUGGGUUAAGUCCCGCAACGAGCGCAACCCUUGUCAUUAGUUGCCAUCAUUUGGUUGGGCACUCUAAUGAGACUGCCGGUGACAAACCGGAGGAAGGUGGGGAUGACGUCAAGUCCUCAUGGCCCUUAUGGGUAGGGCUUCACACGUCAUACAAUGGUCGGUACAGAGGGUUGCCAACCCGCGAGGGGGAGCUAAUCCCACAAAGCCGAUCGUAGUCCGGAUCGCAGUCUGCAACUCGACUGCGUGAAGUCGGAAUCGCUAGUAAUCGUGGAUCAGCAUGUCACGGUGAAUACGUUCCCGGGUCUU